AGUGAACGCUGGCGGUAGGCCUAACACAUGCAAGUCGAACGGCAGCACAGGAGAGCUUGCUCUCUGGGUGGCGAGUAGCGGACGGGUGAGGAAUACAUCGGAAUCUGCCCAGUCGUGGGGGAUAACGUAGGGAAACUUACGCUAAUACCGCAUACGACCUUCGGGUGAAAGAGGGGGAUCGCAAGACCUCUCGCGAUUGGAUGAGCCGAUGUCGGAUUAGCUAGUUGGCGGGGUAAUGGCCCACCAAGGCGACGAUCCGUAGCUGGUCUGAGAGGAUGAUCAGCCACACUGGAACUGAGACACGGUCCAGACUCCUACGGGAGGCAGCAGUGGGGAAUAUUGGACAAUGGGCGCAAGCCUGAUCCAGCCAUACCGCGUGGGUGAAGAAGGCCUUCGGGUUGUAAAGCCCUUUUGUUGGGAAAGAAAUCUUUCAGGCUAAUACCCUGGGAGGAUGACGGUACCCAAAGAAUAAGCACCGGCUAACUUCGUG
rnacentral:rRNA from 1 species